ACGGCUCAGUAACACGUGGACAACCUACCCUAUGGAGGGGGAUAACCCCGGGAAACUGGGGAUAAUACCCCAUAGACUAUGAAUGCUGGAAUGCUUUGUAGUUGAAAGGUCCGCCGCCAUAGGAUGGGUCUGCGGCCGAUUAGGUUGUUGUUGGGGUAACGGCCCAACAAGCCUGUAAUCGGUACGGGUUGUGGGAGCAAGAGCCCGGAGAUGGAUUCUGAGACACGAAUCCAGGCCCUACGGGGCGCAGCAGGCGCGAAAACUUUACAAUGCGGGAAACCGUGAUAAGGGAACUCCGAGUGCCCGUAAAAUCGGGCUGUCCAUCUGUUUAAAUAACAGGUGAAGAAAGGGCCGGGCAAGACCGGUGCCAGCCGCCGCGGUAAUACCGGCGGCUCGAGUGGUGGCCACUAUUACUGGGCUUAAAGCGUUCGUAGCUGGUCUGUUAAGUCUCUGGGGAAAUCUACUGGCUUAACCAAUAGGCGUUUCAGGGAUACUGGCAGACUAGGGACCGGGAGAGGUGAGGGGUACUCCAGGGGUAGGAGUGAAAUCCUGUAAUCCUUGGGGGACCACCUGUGGCGAAGGCGCCUCACCAGAACGGCUCCGACAGUGAGGGACGAAAGCUGGGGGAGCAAACCGGAUUAGAUACCCGGGUAGUCCCAGCCGUAAACGAUGCGCGUUAGGUGUAUCGGUGACCACGAGUCACCGAGGUGCCGAAGAGAAAUCGUGAAACGUGCCGCCUGGGAAGUACGGUCGCAAGGCUGAAACUUAAAGGAAUUGGCGGGGGAG
rnacentral:rRNA from 1 species